rnacentral:ncRNA from 1 species
GAAAAGGCGUUGAAGAAGAGGAGUAUGUAUCCUUCCCUGACAGAGAGAACUGCCCAAGGGCUGCGAGGCGGUUUCAGAUAAGAAGAUACAGAAGGUAGCUUCCAAGCCGGAUAUCCGAACAUAGCAGUAAGAUAUCCCGGAGUCGUUCCCGUUAUAGAAUAAGAUGAGAAGAUAAACGAAGGUGGUACCGCGAUAUAAUAUUCGCCCUUUAU